UACAAAGGGGGUUUGGGAUUAUAAUUAUAAAUAAGGUCUCUCUCUCUCUCUCUCUCUCUCAGUAGUUUAGUUUUAUUAGUGAAGGGGAAAUGGAGAAGUGGAUGAGUGUGGUGGUGGUGAUGAUGGUGGUGGUGAGUGCAUGUGCAUGCAUGGGAAUGGGACAAGCGAGAGGAGAUGAGAAAUACGACAGAUGCCUUCAGACAUGCGUCAAGGACAGAUGCAUGAGGGGCUCCACUCCUAACCCUAAUUGCGUCAUGCUCUGCGAAGACUUCUGCUAUCACGGCCCAGGAGGAAUGGCAGCAAGGACGAACAAAAUUGGAGUAUGAAUGCUUCUAUUCCGUGUUAUGAAAAUGUAUGAUGUUAUGAAAAUGUAUGAUGGGACUAACAGGGAAAAAAUUCCAUGUAUUUACAGUUUCAAUAAUAUAGUUUGGGAUUUUAUAUU